rnacentral:rRNA from 1 species
AACGAACGCUGGCGGCAGGCCUAACACAUGCAAGUCGAACGCUGCAGCAAUGCAGAGUGGCAGACGGGUGAGUAACGCGUGGGAACCUUCCCUAUGGUUCGGAAUAGCUCAGGGAAACCUGGGGUAAUACCGAAUAAGCCCUUCGGGGGAAAGAUUUAUCGCCAUUGGAUGGGCCCGCGUCGGAUUAGCUAGUUGGUGGGGUAACGGCCUACCAAGGCGACGAUCCGUAGCUGGUCUGAGAGGAUGAUCAGCCACACUGGGACUGAGACACGGCCCAGACUCCUACGGGAGGCAGCAGUGGGGAAUAUUGGACAAUGGGCGCAAGCCUGAUCCAGCCAUGCCGCGUGAGUGACGAAGGCCUUAGGGUUGUAAAGCUCUUUUGCCGGGGACGAUAAUGACGGUACCCGGAGAAUAAGUCCCGGCUAACUUCGUGCCAGCCGCCGCCGUAACAC